rnacentral:rRNA from 1 species
CCUACGGGAGGCAGCAGUAGGGAAUAUUGGGCAAUGGAGGCAACUCUGACCCAGCCAUGCCGCGUGCAGGAUGAAGGCGUUAUGCGUUGUAAACUGCUUUUAUAUAGGAAGAAAUAGACCUUGCGAGGUAAGUUGACGGUACUAUAUGAAUAAGCACCGGCUAACUCCGUGCCAGCAGCCGCGGUAAUACGGAGGGUGCAAGCGUUGUCCGGAUUUAUUGGGUUUAAAGGGUGCGUAGGCGGUUUAUUAAGUCAGUGGUGAAAGACGGUCGCUCAACGAUUGCAGUGCCAUUGAUACUGGUAGACUUGAGUGUGAUUGAGGUAGCUGGAAUGGAUAGUGUAGCGGUGAAAUGCAUAGAUAUUAUCCAGAACACCAAUUGCGUAGGCAAGUUACUAAGUCACAACUGACGCUGAGGCACGAAAGUGUGGGUAUCAAACAGGAUUAGAUACCCUGGUAGUCCACACUGUAAACGAUGAUAACUAACUGUUGGCUUUUGGGUCAGUGGUACAGAGAAAUCGUUAAGUUAUCCACCUGGGGAGUACGCCGGCAACGGUGAAACGUCAAAGGAAUUGACGGNGNGAGAGNGCGAGGACGACGACGAGGGAGGAGG